AGAGUUUGAUCCUGGCUCAGAUUGAACGCUGGCGGCAUGCCUUACACAUGCAAGUCGAACGGCAGCACGGGGGCAACCCUGGUGGCGAGUGGCGAACGGGUGAGUAAUAUAUCGGAACGUGCCAAGUAGUGGGGGAUAACUAGUCGAAAGAUUAGCUAAUACCGCAUACGCUUUACGAAGGAAAGUGGGGGAUCGCAAGACCUCAUGCUAUUUGAGCGGCCGAUAUCUGAUUAGCUAGUUGGUGGGGUAAGAGCCCACCAAGGCGACGAUCAGUAGCUGGUCUGAGAGGACGACCAGCCACACUGGGACUGAGACACGGCCCAGACUCCUACGGGAGGCAGCAGUGGGGAAUUUUGGACAAUGGGGGCAACCCUGAUCCAGCAAUGCCGCGUGAGUGAAGAAGGCCUUCGGGUUGUAAAGCUCUUUUGUCCGGAAAGAAAUCCUUUUGGCUAAUAUCCAGAGGGGAUGACGGUACCGGAAGAAUAAGCACCGGCUAACUACGUGCCAGCAGCCGCGGUAAUACGUAGGGUGCAAGCGUUAAUCGGAAUUACUGGGCGUAAAGCGUGCGCAGGCGGUUUUGUAAGUCUGACGUGAAAUCCCCGGGCUUAACCUGGGAAUUGCGUUGGAGACUGCAAGGCUAGAAUCUGGCAGAGGGGGGUAGAAUUCCACGUGUAGCAGUGAAAUGCGUAGAGAUGUGGAGGAACACCGAUGGCGAAGGCAGCCCCCUGGGUCAAGAUUGACGCUCAUGCACGAAAGCGUGGGGAGCAAACAGGAUUAGAUACCCCAGUAGUCC
rnacentral:rRNA from 1 species